rnacentral:rRNA from 1 species
UACGUAGGGGGCUAGCGUUGUUCGGAUUCACUGGGCGUAAAGGGUGCGUAGGUGGUGGGGUAAGUCUCGUGUGAAAGCUCGCAGCUUAACUGCGAAAAGUCACGGGAUACUAUCCGGCUAGAGGCUUGGAGGGGGGACUGGAAUACUUGGUGUAGCAGUGAAAUGCGUAGAUAUCAAGUGGAACACCAGUGGCGAAGGCGAGUCCCUGGACAAGACCUGACACUGAGGCACGAAAGCCAGGGGAGCAAACAGG